UCAUGCUUUAACAUUGUUCAUUGAGUUGAUGAAGAGAGUUGAAAAUUCGCAUACCAUGGUGAGCUCUUUUUCUUUGUAUCAAUGGGCCUCUUUGAAAAGACCUGAUGCUAUGUUUCAGUGGUUAAUAGACAACUUGGCGGCAAGAAAAUUUACCUUCUGUUUUACCAUUCAGCCAACUAUCUUACUGUUCUACCAACGUGCAUUUUUUUUUUUGGUCGAGAACAUGCAUUUCUGAUACUAGUGAAUUUAUAGAUUACCUUUGCUAAAUCUCUAGUGAUUUGGGUUCUUAUAUUCAAUUUGGUCUCAGGCACUUACUAAUCUCUUAAAGGAAAGACUGCUAAAAGAAGGAAGAAGGCCAUAUGUUAUUCCUGUUAGUGGAUCAAACUCCCUAGGAACCUGAUGAGAUUGGGUUUGCCUUUCUAUUGAAAUGUGCAUAAACUGUCUGUAAUAAUAAUUUUUUUCUGUACACUUUAACUGCUGUAUUUUUUCCCUCUAUCUCCUUUCUAUCUGUCAUAUAUUUUUUAAGUAUUCAUUUUGGGUUCCUAGAAUUUGAUGCAAUUUCUUUGCUUCACAGUGGAAAUGAGAAGUAUUUCCUAUUUUCCAACCCGAAGUUUUCUAGUUUUCUUGACUUUUUAAAGCUCUAAUAUGUAAUGGAAAUAUGGUAUCUGCUACCUGUUCUUCACUUUAAUCCAUCAUAACUCGUGUCAUAUGGUAUAAACCUAAUGGUUGGGGUCUUCAAAAUGAGAAGGGAGAAGAGAGAGGUGAGGGUUGUGAGGUUUCAGUUUCCUGAUCAAAGUUGAUUAUGACGGCUUCCAUUUCUUUUUUGUGCUGAUUGGAGUUCCCUGUGCAGAUUGGACAUUGCAUUUUCAUGUACGUUGCUGACUUUUCAAGUUUCAACUAUGGACAUUUAGCCCCAUGCGAAAUAUCUAGGUACUGACAGCCAAUCCCAUGCACAAGUGGACCCUUUCACUUUAUUUUGGAUUUUUACACCUCUGCCGAUCCCGCAUUGCUUCAACAGUUUUGAACUUUUCUCACUCCACCGAUCCCGCAUUGCUUCAACAAUUUUGAACUUUUCUCACUCCAGCCGAUCCCAGAUGGGCCCCAUGAGAAUUUCUCUUCUUUUUCCUUUGCACUUCAGCCAAUCCGGUGGGCCCUAUGCUCUUUGCUUUCUCUUUGCUAACCGAUCCCAGAUGGACUCCAACAGGGGUGCGCUUGGUUUUAAGCUUCAGCUGAUCCAGUGGGCCCCAUGCUCUUUGCUUGCUCUUUGCUAAUCAAUCCCAAAUGGACCCUAGAUGGGGUGUGCUUGGUUUUAAGCUUCAGCCGAUCCGGUGGGUCCCAUUCUCUUUGCUAAUCGAUCCCAAAUAGACCCCAGCUAGGUGUGCUAGCUGAUCUUCUAAACGUCAAUACGCAUGGGCUGAGAAACUGAAUGCGCAGGGAUCCAGGGGUCUACAAAUGAAAAAUGAAUUAUAUCUUACAUGUUGUUUAUAAGUAUAAUACUGCAACAUCAUAUAAUAAGUUUAUGGUGAUCGUGAUUAUUAUUAUUAUUACUUGCAUCUGUCACGUUUUUAUGUAAUCGAUUUCCAGUGGGGGUACAAUUUGCUGGUUUGGCAUUGGGCUCUUGGCUGAGUUCGUUGAAGGCAAAAGUCCAUGCCUUUUCUGUCUGUGAUGACCCUGAUUACUUCUACGACUAUGUUCAAGGCCUACUUGAUGGACUUGAGGCAGGCAUUGAUUCACGUGAUAUUGUUAACAUUCAAAAUGUGAGGGUCAAAGCAGAUUACACUAUAUUGUCAGCAUUGAACACAUGAUUUAUGUUGCUUCGUACUCCAUGUUCUUUUAAGGUUGAUCUUACAGUAGUUUGCCUACACUAUACAACUUGUACAUGUGCAUCCUCUACAGAAAAAUGAAAUCCAGCUUACAGGUUCUGUUUUAUUUCCACGACUCUUUGUUUAUGUUUCCAUCUUUGUGCCAUCACUUCCCUUGAGGAGGAUAAAUGGUUAAAUUAUUCAUAGUUAAUCCUGAAGUAUGAUCUGCAACUCUCUCUCUCUCUCUCUCUCUCUCUCUGUGGCUUUUCUCUUCUGCCGAAUAAUGGGAUCACUGAUUUAUGAUGUCAUUCCUUAUUUAGUGGCAAAGCUGCUUAUGGAAUGUUGAAAGACAUGGCUGAGAAUACAAAGAAGUGGGAAGGAAGAAAGAUCCUCUUCAUACACACAGGUGGGUUACUUGGGUUGUUUGACAAGGUAGAGCAGAUGGCUACAUCGUCGGGAAAUUGGCGUCGGAUGGAUGUCCAAGAAUCUGUUCCCCGGAGCGAUGGUAUCGGGAAAAUGUUCUAGGGUCGAAAUAAAGCAAAGAGAAGAGUCCGGUGCUCUAUUAAUAGAGAUGAGAUCAAAAUCCUCAAUCAGUGAUACUGUACUGAAUGAUGCAUAAGAAACGAUCUCAUAUCAAAUAAGACAAUUACAGGAGGUUUGUAUUU